AUACGAAGGGGGCUAGCGUUGUUCGGAAUUACUGGGCGUAAAGCGCGCGUAGGCGGACCAGUCAGUCAGGGGUGAAAUCCCGGGGCUCAACCCCGGAACUGCCUUUGAUACUGCUGGUCUUGAGUUCGAGAGAGGUGAGUGGAAUUCCGAGUGUAGAGGUGAAAUUCGUAGAUAUUCGGAGGAACACCAGUGGCGAAGGCGGCUCACUGGCUCGAUACUGACGCUGAGGUGCGAAAGCGUGGGGAGCAAACAGGAUUAGAAACCCUAGUAGUCC
rnacentral:rRNA from 1 species